rnacentral:rRNA from 1 species
AGAGUUUGAUCCUGGCUCAGAGCGAACGCUGGCGGCGGGCUUAAGACAUGCAAGUCGAGCGAGAAAGCGCCUUCGGGCGUGAGUAAAGCGGCGGACGGGUGAGUAACACGUGAGUAACCUACCUCCCGGCGGGGGACAACACUUCGAAAGGGGUGCUAAUACCGCGUACGUUUCCGGGGACUUCGGUUCCUGGAAGGAAAGAUGGCCUCUCCAUGGAAGCUGUCACCGGGUGACGGGCUCGCGUCCCAUUAGCUUGUUGGUGAGGUAAAAGCUCACCAAGGCCGAGAUGGGUAGCUGGUCUGAGAGGAUGAUCAGUCACACUGGGACUGAGACACGGCCCAGACUCCUACGGGAGGCAGCAGUCGGGAAUAUUGGACAAUGGGGGAAACCCUGAUCCAGCUACGCCGCGUGGGUGAUGGAGGCCUUCGGGUCGUAAAGCCCUGUCAGAGGGGAAGAAACGGUCUUGGGUUAAUACCCCCGGACCUUGACGGUACCUUCAGAGGAAGCACCGGCUAACUACGUGCCAGCAGCCGCGGUAAGACGUAGGGUGCAAGCGUUGCUCGGAAUCACUGGGCGUAAA